GACGAACGCUGGCGGCGUGCUUAACACAUGCAAGUCGAGCGGUAAGGCCCUUUCGGGGGUACGACGAGCGGCGAACGGGUGAGUAACACGUGGGUGACCUGCCCUCAGCUCUGGGAUAAGCCUGGGAAACUGGGUCUAAUACUGGAUAUGACUCCACGGUGCAUGUCGUGGGGUGGAAAGCCUUGUGCGGCUGAGGAUGGGCCCGCGGCCUAUCAGCUUGUUGGUGGGGUGAUGGCCUACCAAGGCGACGACGGGUAGCCGGCCUGAGAGGGCGACCG
rnacentral:rRNA from 1 species